rnacentral:rRNA from 1 species
GACUAGUGGCGGACGGGUGAGUAAUGUAUGAGCAACCUGCCUUUCAGAGGGGGACAACAGUUGGAAACGACUGCUAAUACCGCGUAACGUAUCGUGGGGGGCCAUCCUCGUGAUACCAAAGGAGCAAUCCGCUGAAAGAUGGGCUCAUAUCUGAUUAGCUUGUUGCGGGGUAACGGCCCACCAAGGCGACGAUCAGUAGCCGGACUGAGAGGUUGAACGGCCACAUUGGGACUGAGAUACGGCCCAGACUCCUACGGGAGGCAGCAGUGGGGAAUAUUGGGCAAUGGGCGAAAGCCUGAACCCCCAGCAACGCCGCGUGAAGGAAGAAGGUCUUCGGAUUGUAAACUUCUUUUAUGAGGGACGAAGGACGUGACGGUACCUCAUGAAUAAGCCACGGCUAACUACGUGCCAGCAGCAGC